UGGCGUGCCCGAGCAUUGUUAAUGCGAAAGCAUUGGGGCUGGCUGUUGCUAAAGCCUCUAAAAUGUGAGAAUGAGCGUCAGCUCUGUAACUAUUUUAUCAACGCUCUGGUAAGAACUUUUUACACGAGCUAGCGAGCGAGCGAGAGAGGUAGAAGCUUUCUUAGCUUCGUCGCAUCACACAGGAUAAGUAGUGCUCUCCAA